UCCGAUAUGGUGUAACGGCUAGCAUCGCUGGUUUUCACUCAGCAGAUCGGGGUUCGAUUCCCCGUAUCGGAG